AACCUGCCUUGGAGAGGGGGAUAAACAACUCCGAAAGGAGUGCUAAUACCGCAUGAUGCAGUUGAGUCGCAUGGCUCUGACUGCCAAAGAUUUAUCGCUCUGAGAUGGCCUCGCGUCUGAUUAGCUAGUAGGCGGGGUAACGGCCCACCUAGGCGACGAUCAGUAGCCGGACUGAGAGGUUGACCGGCCACAUUGGGACUGAGACACGGCCCAG
rnacentral:rRNA from 1 species